rnacentral:lncRNA from 1 species
AGAUAGACAGUAGGAGAGAGGCCUGGAACAGAUCCUUCCCUAGCAUCUUCAGAGGGAGCAUGGACCUACCUACACCUUGAUCUCAUAAUCCAGUCUCCAAAACGGAAGGACACUUCUAUAAAAGAUGAAGUUGGUUGUACUUCCCAUGAAACCAUUACUUGAAGACACACGUUUGCAUAACAGCAAUGAGAGAAAAAUUGCCAUGGUCAAAAUCAUCUGAAGAAAUUAGAAGCAUGAGACUAGGACAAAGAAGGAAGAGCAGGACUGGGAAGCAAGAUUCAGCCCAGCGUCAGAAAUCCAGGCUCCUUUGCCCAUCUAAUAAGAAAGAAUGAAACUUGAAAGCCACUCUCAGAAAUGGACGUGUAAGGAGACAUACACAGGCAUCCAUUCAUAUAUCCAUACAGGAAAGAAGGAAGGAAAGAAGGAAGGAAGGAAGGAAGAUAUCCCAAGUAUAAAUGGAUUCAAGCUACUUGGAAUUUGGUAAGUGUGAUUCUCACUUGAGGGUGAGGUGGUCUAGACCUACGUAUGCCACAGGGGAGAAGCAGUCAAACUUAAGUCUGAUAAAGAAUCAUCACAGGUCAUGUUAAAAGUAGAUUCCAGUAUUCUCCUCAAAGAUUCUGAUUCAUUUGGUCUGUAAAAGGAUCCUGUAACCUCUCCAGAUGAAUCUAAAAUAUAGGGUUGAG